UACAAGUCUUGAACCCAUCUCAUCCAUUGAAAAGAGAAGAAGAAAUUAAUAAAUUAAAGAGAAAUCGCAGAUCAGAGAAAAACCCUAACCUAAAUGGGAAAGAAGAAGAAAAGAGUUCCGUCCAAGGUAUGGUGUUACUAUUGUGAGAGAGAAUUUGACGACGAGAAGAUACUGGUCCAGCACCAGAAGGCCAAGCAUUUCAAGUGCCAUGUCUGUCACAAGAAGCUCUCCACCGCCGGUGGUAUGGCCAUCCAUGUUCUCCAGGUUCACAAGGAGUCCGUCACCAAGGUUCCCAAUGCAAAAUCUGGUAGAGAAUCGACUGACAUUGAGAUAUAUGGAAUGCAAGGAAUACCACCUGAUGUACUAGCUGCUCACUAUGGAGAAGAAGAAGAAGAGGUUGCGUCAAAAGCGGCCAAACUGGAUAUCCCAUCUACUCAGCUUGUGGGAGGAUUGAUACCAGGGCCACUUCCUGUUGGAUAUCCUCCUCAAUCAACUUUAAGGGCAGUGCAGCCAUUGUAUAAUGCUGCAGUGCCUGUACCUCCUGUUGGCUGGGCAGUGCCUCCUCGUCCACAGCCUUGGCUCCCACAGCAUCCUGCAUCUUCAGUUCCCCUAUCUGCACCUAUGGGGUAUGUGCAGCAACCAUUAUUUCCACUACAAAGUGUGAGGCCUCCUAUGGCUGUUCCUUCAACAUCACCUUCACUCCAACCUUCACAAAUUGCUCCACCUGGAUUGCCGACAUCAACGCCUACACUUCCUGUAUCCCAACCAUUGUUCCCUGUUGUCAAUAAUAGCGUACCUACUCAGAGCUCACCGUUUUCUGCUUCUUUUCCAACAAGUGUUGCAGAAGGAAAAACUUCAAUUGAAGUGCAUUCUAGUGGUAGUGCUACGGUGACAGGUGGUGCUGGUGUCAAUUCUCAUUCUUAUGCCUCUGGUCCAAAUACUGGUGGCCCAUCUAUUGGACCACCCCCUGUUAUAGCAAAUAAAGCUCCUGCUAUCCAGUCGGCGGUAAACGAGGUUUAUUUAGUUUGGGAUGAUGAGGCAAUGUCCAUGGAAGAGAGAAGAAUGUCCUUAGCCAAAUAUCAGAUGCAUGAUGAAAAUAGCCAGUGUGGGGGUUUGGGUGGAACAAGAUGAUACCCAACAGAUUUUUGCUCAAAUAAAUAGCAUUGACAGUGAAUUCAGGCUUUUCCAGAUGAGCUCUAUUGAUGCAGCAAUAGACAGAAGGAUCCUGGAAAGCAGACUUGCAGGUCGAAUAGCAUUUUAGUUGGGAGGUGCAUCUUGAGAUAUCAAUUGGAUUAAUGAGCAUGAUGCACUACUUGCAUGAACUGUGGAAAGAGGGAUUGGGACCCCAAAUUCAUCAAUCAAUUUUUAGGUUGGUUAUGGCAAGAUGUAAUUGUGUUGUAGUCUUUUGCAAAGUGAUGCAGAAGAGAGAAGAAAAGUCGAUUGUUUUUUAAUUUUAAUUCUAAAAGUCAGAUACUUAGAAAAGUUGGGUUAUUAACAUUGUGAAUUUAUUGCACUGUUAGGAUGUUGAUUUGAGUUUAGGUAAUGGAUUUUAUUGAAGGG